rnacentral:misc_RNA from 1 species
GGGAGCCGGGCCUUGAAAACCCUAAAUCCCGAAAAACCUAGAAGGCUUGAUCCAAUUUCAUCUCUGAGCAACAAGGGGUUUCUAUGAAUGGAUGCUAGAGAGCUGAAACCGGAGUCUCCAGGGAUGACGGCGGCCCCCAAUUCCUAUGGGGGCGGCGGUAGUGUCCCGAGUAGCUCGAUGAUGAUGCCGGGUAUGAUGAGGAUGUUACCC